rnacentral:lncRNA from 1 species
UGCGGUUCCACUGGGGAUCCUGGGUCAGUGGCCCAACACCUUUCAAACUCCAGUCUACACCGGUGGCGGCUACUGGAGAAGCUGAUCUGCGAUGCGGGAGGCAGGAGGAGCACCGGAGCCCAGCAAGGAGCCACAUCCAGGAGAUGGGAGGUGUCAACAUGAGCUCACAUGGCCAGCUGUGAGGGACAGAGAUGUCCCCAGGAGUCCCCUCUUCAUCAGCCGAGGAAAACCCCUCUGUGAAAUAAAC